CGCUAUCACUCCGUACGGAGGCAGCAGUAGGGAAUCUUCCACAAUGGACGAAAGUCUGAUGGAGCAACGCCGCGUGAGUGAAGAAGGGUUUCGGCUCGUAAAACUCUGUUGUUAAAGAAGAACAUAUCUGAGAGUAACUGUUCAGGUAUUGACGGUAUUUAACCAGAAAGCCACGGCUAACUACGUGCCAGCAGCCGCGGUAAUACGUAGGUGGCAAGCGUUGUCCGGAUUUAUUGGGCGUAAAGCGAGCGCAGGCGGUUUUUAAGUCUGAUGUGAAAGCCUUCGGCUCAACCGAAGAAGUGCAUCGGAAACUGGGAAACUUGAGUGCAGAAGAGGACAGUGGAACUCCAUGUGUAGCGGUGAAAUGCGUAGAUAUAUGGAAGAACACCAGUGGCGAAGGCGGCUGUCUGGUCUGUAACUGACGCUGAGGCUCGAAAGUAUGGGUAGCAAACAGGAUUAGAUACCCUGGUAG
rnacentral:rRNA from 1 species